AACCAACUAGCUCGGGCCUCAGAGGGGAGGGAGUGUUCCCUGGAGAAGCUGGGAGAGGAGGGUGUGACCUUUGCUCAGUUGUAGGGAUUCCCCAGGACUCCCUGCGAGUCCGACCACACCCAGCUGCCGCCUCUGCUGGCACCGUCCGCUCUGGAGUGGCCUAGGGAGGAAGGAGGCGAACUCGUGCAUACUGAGUGCCAGGAACCGUACCAGGUGUUUGAUAGAAUUUGCAUCAAUAUUCACAACAGCCCUACUGCUAAUGAUGAUCCUGAUGACAGACUCAGCCCUUUAAGAGCAAAGGAGGACAUCUUCAGAAUCCAGACCCCUAACUCGCCAUAGGCAACCACUUCCUGAAAAUACUUCGUGGAGUCUUUUUUUGCAAGAACCUCC